GACGGAGGGUGCAAGCGUUGUUCGGAAUUACUGGGCGUAAGGGCGCGUAGGCGGUCUGUUAAGUUCGGUGUGAAAGCCCCCGGCUCACCUGGGGAACUGCGCCGGAAACCGACAGACUCGAGUACCGGAGAGGAGGGUGGAAUUCCUGGUGUAGCGGUGAAAUGCGUAGAUAUCGAGGAGGAACACCGGUGGCGAAGGCGGCUACCUGGACAAUUGCUGACGCUCGAGGCACGAAAGCGUGGGGAGCAAAAGGG
rnacentral:rRNA from 1 species